UGGGGAAUAUUGGACAAUGGGCGAAAGCCUGAUCCAGCCAUGCCGCGUGUGUGAAGAAGGUCUUCGGAUUGUAAAGCACUUUAAGUUGGGAGGAAGGGCAGUAAGCGAAUACCUUGCUGUUUUGACGUUACCGACAGAAUAAGCACCGGCUAUCUCUGUGCCAGCAGCCGCGGUAAUACAGAGGGUGCAAGCGUUAAUCGGAAUUACUGGGCGUAAAGCGCGCGUAGGUGGUUCGUUAAGUUGAAUGUGAAAGCCCCGGGCUCAACCUGGGAACUGCAUCCAAAACUGGCGAGCUAGAGUAGGGCAGAGGGUGGUGGAAUUUCCUGUGUAGCGGUGAAAUGCGUAGAUAUAGGAAGGAACACCAGUGGCGAAGGCGACCACCUGGGCUCAUACUGACACUGAGGUGCGAAAGCGUGGGGAGCAAACAGG
rnacentral:rRNA from 1 species